GGGUGACUGCGUACCUUUUGUAUAAUGGGUCAGCGACUUAUAUUCUGUAGCAAGGUUAACCGUAUAGGGGAGCCGCAGGGAAACCGAGUCUUAACUGGGCGUUAAGUUGCAGGGUAUAGACCCGAAACCCGGUGAUCUAGCCAUGGGCAGGUUGAAGGUUGGGUAACACUAACUGGAGGACCGAACCGACUAAUGUUGAAAAAUUAGCGGAUGACUUGUGGCUGGGGGUGAAAGGCCAAUCAAACCGGGAGAUAGCUGGUUCUCCCCGAAAGCUAUUUAGGUAGCGCCUCGUGAACUCAUCUUCGGGGGUAGAGCACUGUUUCGGCUAGGGGGUCAUCCCGACUUACCAACCCGAUGCAAACUACGAAUACCGAAGAAUGUUAUCACGGGAGACACACGGCGGGUGCUAACGUCCGUCGUGAAGAGGGAAACAACCCAGACCGCCAGCUAAGGUCCCAAAGUCAUGGUUAAGUGGGAAACGAUGUGGGAAGGCCCAGACAGCCAGGAUGUUGGCUUAGAAGCAGCCAUCAUUUAAAGAAAGCGUAAUAGCUCACUGGUCGAGUCGGCCUGCGCGGAAGAUGUAACGGGGCUAAACCAUGCACCGAAGCUGCGGCAGCGACACUAUGUGUUGUUGGGUAGGGGAGCGUUCUGUAAGCCGUUGAAGGUGGCCUGUGAGGGUUGCUGGAGGUAUCAGAAGUGCGAAUGCUGACAUAAGUAACGAUAAUGCGGGUGAAAAACCCGCACGCCGGAAGACCAAGGGUUCCUGUCCAACGUUAAUCGGGGCAGGGUGAGUCGACCCCUAAGGCGAGGCCGAAAGGCGUAGUCGAUGGGAAACAGGUUAAUAUUCCUGUACUCGGUGUUACUGCGAAGGGGGGACGGAGAAGGCUAUGUUGGCCGGGCGACGGUUGUCCCGGUUUAAGCAUGUAGGCGGAUGUUCCAGGUAAAUCCGGAACGUCACUAACGCUGAGGUGUGAUGACGAGGCACUACGGUGCUGAAGUGACAAAUGCCCUGCUUCCAGGAAAAGCCUCUAAGCAUCAGGUAACAUCAAAUCGUACCCCAAACCGACACAGGUGGUCAGGUAGAGAAUACCAAGGCGCUUGAGAGAACUCGGGUGAAGGAACUAGGCAAAAUGGUGCCGUAACUUCGGGAGAAGGCACGCUGAUGGUAGGUGAAGCGACUUGCUCGUGGAGCUGAAAUCAGUCGAAGAUACCAGCUGGCUGCAACUGUUUAUUAAAAACACAGCACUGUGCAAACACGAAAGUGGACGUAUACGGUGUGACGCCUGCCCGGUGCCGGAAGGUUAAUUGAUGGGGUUAUCCGUAAGGAGAAGCUCUUGAUCGAAGCCCCGGUAAACGGCGGCCGUAACUAUAACGGUCCUAAGGUAGCGAAAUUCCUUGUCGGGUAAGUUCCGACCUGCACGAAUGGCGUAAUGAUGGCCAGGCUGUCUCCACCCGAGACUCAGUGAAAUUGAACUCGCUGUGAAGAUGCAGUGUACCCGCGGCAAGACGGAAAGACCCCGUGAACCUUUACUAUAGCUUGACACUGAACACUGGUCCUUGAUGUGUAGGAUAGGUGGGAGGCUUUGAAGUGUGGACGCCAGUCUGCAUGGAGCCAUCCUUGAAAUACCACCCUUUAAUGGCUGGUGUUCUAACGUGGGCCCCUAAUCGGGGUUGCGGACAGUGUCUGGUGGGUAGUUUGACUGGGGCGGUCUCCUCCUAAAGAGUAACGGAGGAGCACGAAGGUCAGCUAAUCCUGGUCGGACAUCAGGAGGUUAGUGCAAUGGCAUAAGCUGGCUUGACUGCGAGCGUGACGGCGCGAGCAGGUGCGAAAGCAGGUCAUAGUGAUCCGGUGGUUCUGAAUGGAAGGGCCAUCGCUCAACGGAUAAAAGGUACUCCGGGGAUAACAGGCUGAUACCGCCCAAGAGUUCAUAUCGACGGCGGUGUUUGGCACCUCGAUGUCGGCUCAUCACAUCCUGGGGCUGAAGUAGGUCCCAAGGGUAUGGCUGUUCGCCAUUUAAAGUGGUACGCGAGCUGGGUUUAGAACGUCGUGAGACAGUUCGGUCCCUAUCUGCCGUGGGCGCUGGAGAAUUGAGGGGGGCUGCUCCUAGUACGAGAGGACCGGAGUGGACGCAUCACUGGUGUUCGGGUUGUCAUGCCAAUGGCAUUGCCCGGUAGCUAAAUGCGGAAGAGAUAAGUGCUGAAAGCAUCUAAGCACGAAACUUGCCCCGAGAUGAGUUCUCCCUGACUCCUUGAGAGUCCUGAAGGAACGUUGAAGACGACGACGUUGAUAGGCCGGGUGUGUAAGCGCAGCGAUGCGUUGAGCUAACCGGUACUAAUGAACCGUGAGGCUUAACCUUACAACGCCGAAG
rnacentral:rRNA from 1 species